CAGUAGCCGCGGUAAUACGAAGGGUGCAAGCGUUAAUCGGAAUUACUGGGCGUAAAGCGUGCGUAGGCGGUUUGUUAAGUCUGUUGUGAAAUCCCCGGGCUCAACCUGGGAAUUGCAGUGGAUACUGGAUCACUAGAGUGUGGUAGAGGAUAGUGGAAUUUCCGGUGUAGCAGUGAAAUGCGUAGAGAUCGGAAGGAACAUCUGUGGCGAAGGCGACUAUCUGGGCCAACACUGACACUGAGGCACGAAAGCGUGGGGAGCAAACAGGAUUAGAUACCCCUGUAGUCCCUGUCUCUUAUAA
rnacentral:rRNA from 1 species